rnacentral:rRNA from 1 species
UACGGAGGGUGCAAGCGUUAUCCGGAUUCACUGGGUUUAAAGGGCGCGUAGGCGGUCCGACAAGUCAGGGGUGAAAUCCUGCAGCUUAACUGUAGAAGUGCCUCUGAUACUGUCGGUCUUGAGGGAGAUAGGGGUGUGCGGAACUUCCAGUGGAGCGGUGAAAUGCGUUGAUAUUGGAAGGAACGCCGGAGGCGAAAGCGGCGCACUGGAUCUCUACUGACGCUGAGGCGCGAAAGCCAGGGGAGCAAACGGG